rnacentral:lncRNA from 1 species
GGAGCCCGGCGGACGCUGGGUCUGCAGAUGCCAUCCAGGCGCACGGCGGGUAUAGUGGUUCCGCAACCUUGGGAUGUUCGGCUGAGCGCCUGCCUAACAUGGGAGCGCCUGCCUAACCCUCCUGACUGGAGGGUCAGCGGCGGGGAGUCCUGGCCUUCAAUCGGCCAUCGCCACGGCAGAAACUGGGGCCCGGGCUGCGUCCAGGCCCUUCCCCGUCCGUCCACAGGUCUCAUGGGCGCCCGGACUGGGGCUGAUGUAGUUUCCCGACCUCUGACACAUAGGAUCUGGAGAUUAAAGCUGCUCUGCUAAUAAUUAGGUUCCCACCUCUCAAGAUCAUUAGGAGCUUCUUUUCCAAUUCCUCUGUUUUGCAUGCAUUGGAAGUUCCUCCCCUAACCUGGUGCUAAAUUAGAUCAUAGUGUGGUCCUUGGACCAACAGUAUCAAUAGCACCUGAAAGUCAUGCUGGAAAUACAGAUUCACAGGCUGCUCCCCAGAAUACUGAAGAAGAAACUCUAGGAGUGAGACCCAACAAUCUGUGUUUAACAAGUCCCCAGGCCCCUGGAUCCUCCUGGAAUCCCUGAUCCCUGUUGCUCCCUGGCGGAGUUUUCUAGUCCCUCUUACUUGAAGCAUGUCUUUCAGAGCCCGGCACCACCCAAGUUGGGUAUCUGCUACACCUCUAUGGUAUUUUUUUCACCUCAUAUCAUACCUUCCUCCCUCACUGGACUUCAGUGUGGGACCUGCAGGUCUCAGGCCUUCUGGGAAGUCCCAGCUUUUCUUGAAUGUUCUCUCUCUCUGGCCAGCUCAGGCUGGAGCAGUGGGUGUUGGUGCCAUCCUGUGGCUAUAGGUGAUAAGCCGGCUGUUCUUCACUGACCUGGUCUUACCUUGAACCCUGGAGUUCUCACAUGCAUGGAUUUAAAUGCUGUGUCUUUCUAAGGGCACAUUAUGGCCAUUUUCCUUAUCUCCCUCCCAAGGGGCUGUUUCCUGUAUUUAUUGACUCCCUGUUUAAAAAAAAUAUAUGUAUAUAUAGACAAAUUGGAUUGUACCCCAUAAACUGCAUGUUUUAAAAAUACUUCAAAGAAUAGUUUUUCAUUUUUUUCUUGCUGGUUUUUAUGUAUCUUCUAAAUUGUAUAUAUUUAUGGGGUAUAAAAUGAUGUUGUGAUUUUUCAAUACAGUGUGGAAUGAGAAUCAAAUUAACCUAUCCGUUACCUCAAGUACUUGACUUUUUUUGUGAUGAGAAGGCUGUUUAUCACUUUCACUCACCAGCUCCUGCUGUCUUCCAUGCUGGGGACAGGAAAGGCUCCACGCUUGACUUUCCCUCCUGUUUUCUUAUCUGCUGUCAACCCCUGAAUGUACCCUCCAGGAUUGACUUCUAGACCUUCUACAUCUAGCUCGAUCGUUGUGCACCCACCUUCCUCCCAGGGACUGUCCUUAGGGAGUGACUUUAUGCACAAACUUCACAUGCUCUUCCUGCCUCCUUCAUCCCCAGAAGCCCCCAUCUCAGCCCCAUCUGAUUAUUUCCUCCCUCUCUCAUUUCCUGUUAUGCUGUUGGUUUUCUAACCUGAAGGGUAACUUCUUACUCCUUAGUUUUUUGCCUUAAUUUCUAAGUCAUAGGCUACUUUCAGGCUAAAAGUUUUCCUCCAGCCAUGGUUUUAGUCUCAUUCUAUAAGUCUUGCUAGGUAGUUUAUUCAUUGGAAAUUUUUUGUUUUUGAGACAGAGUCUCGCUCUAUCACCCAGGCUGUAGUACAGUGGUGCCAUCUCAGCUCACUGCAACCUCCGGUUCCCGGGCUCAAGCAGUUCUCUUUCCUCAGCCUCCUGAGUAGCUGGGAUUAUGGGUGCCUGCCACCACACCCAGCUAAUUUUUGUAUUUUUAGCAGAGACGGCAUUUCACCAUGUCAGCCAGGUUGGUCUCGAACUCUUGACCUCAAGUGAUCCGCCCGCCUUGGCCUCCCAAAAUACUGGGAUUACAGGGGUGAGUCACCGCACCCCACCCCUUGGCACUAUAUUUAAGUGAUGAUAUUUUUGGACACUGAGGUAGCCUCAUUCCACAGGUUUAGAUCUGAAGCAUUUUCACUAUUGCUUCUUUCCAUGUAUUUCCUGGUUUGCAGGUCAGUUUCUUCUUUUAAUUCAUCAUUGACACAGUGGUUUAUAUGGCUUUUAAUUUCAAAAGAUUUUUUAAAAUAUCUUUUUGCCGAUUUUUAUCUAUGUUAAUUUUAACUAGACAUGUUCCCUGGAAGGACAUCACUAGUUUUUUUUUUUUUUUUCCCUCUGUUUAUAAUUUAGGUGGAUUUUCACAUCUCAAGCCAGCUAAGAGUAUGGGAAAUAGGACUCGUUAAAGCACAGGUAUCACACAAGUGAUUCAGAUUCACGAGGGUAAUCCAGAUGAAGGUAUAUCAUUGUACCUGGCCCGCAUCACUCAAUAACUGUCACCUUUGAUUUAUUGAUUUACUUGAGAUGGAGUUUGGUUCUGUCCCCGAGGCCGGAGUGCAAUGGCGUGAUCUCUGCUCACUACAACCUCUGCCUCCCAGGUUCAGAGUGAUUCUCCUGCCUCAGCCUCUUUAGCUGGGAUUACAGGCACCCACCAACAUGCCCAGCUAAUUUUUGUAUUUUUAGUAGAGAGGAGCUUUCACCAUAAUGGCCAGGCUGGUCUUGAACCUCAAAUGAUCUGCCCACCUUGGCCUCCCAAAGUGCUAGGAUUACAGGCUGGAGCUACGGAGCCCAGCCUGUCACCUUGAUUUAAAUGAAUGCAGCUUUCUUGGUGUCUUGAUGUUUGUGAAUUUCUGUGGAGUUUGAUACUGCUCCUUUUGCUGCUUGUUUUUCCAGAGUCCCCUUAUCACUUGACGUGCUGUUAUAUUAUGUUUGAUUUAUUACAGAUACCCCAUCAGCCUGAGUCUCUUAAAGGCCUUUAUACACAUAUGUCUACACAUAGGGAUUUGGAUGAUCUCGGGAUCCCACAUCCUCGCUGUCCCCUGUCCCCCCACAACAUCCCACACCAAUACCUUUCUGAAGUUUUCUAGUCCCUCCUUUUUGUUUGUGGUCCUUAAAGCCCAGCCCCAUGCCUGACUUUGGUUCCCAGUGAGCAUUGUACAUUUGUGGAUAUUAAAUCUUUGGCAAAGUCAUUU